rnacentral:rRNA from 1 species
GACGAACCGUGCGAACGUUGUUCGGAAUCACUGGGCUUAAAGGGCGCGUAGGCGGGCUGUCAAGUCCGGGGUGAAAUCCUCCAGCUCAACUGGAGAACGGCCUCGGAUACUGAUGGUCUCGAGGAGGAUAGGGGCACACGGAACUGUGGGUGGAGCGGUGAAAUGCGUUGAUAUCCGACAGGAACUCCGGUGGCGAAAGCGGUGUGCUGGAUCCUUUCUGACGCUGAUGCGCGAAAGCCAGGGGAGCAAACGGG